AGCGAACGCUGGCGGUAGGCUUAACACAUGCAAGUCGAACGGCAACACAGUAAUAGCUUGCUCUUACGGGUGGCGAGUGGCGGACGGGUGAGGAAUACAUCGGAAUCUACUUUUUCGUGGGGGAUAACGAAGCGAAACUUACGCUAAUACCGCAUACGACCUACGGGUGAAAGCAGGGGAUCUUCGGACCUUGUGCGAUUGAAUGAGCCGAUGUCGGAUUAGCUAGUUGGCGGGGUAAAGGCCCACCAAGGCGACGAUCCGUAGCUGGUCUGAGAGGAUGAUCAGCGACACUGGAACUGAGACACGGUCCAGGCUCCUACGGGAGGGAGCAGUGGGGAAUAUGGGACAAUGGGCGCAAGCCUGAUCCAGCCAGACCGCGUGGGUGAAGAAGGCCUUCGGGUUGUGAUGCCCUUUUGUUGGUAAAGAAAAGCAGCAGGUUAAGACCCCGCUGUUCUGACGGUACCCGAAGAAUAAGCACCGGCUAACUUCGUG
rnacentral:rRNA from 1 species